GUGGUCGAACUGGUCAUCUUGGUCCAGCUGCUCCAGUACAUGCGGCGGGUGUGGAACCAGGACUAGAACUAGAACCUGCCUGAAACCUCCCUGCAGUGGACAAAGCAAGCAAACCGUAGUAUGCAACAGACAGGUGUGCCCCAUUGUAACCAAGGCGUGUACACAGAGAUACAGGUGUGGAGGAUGGUGGUUCAGGAAGAAGUAUUGUAUCAGGUACGUGAAGUGCUAUACAUUCAAGAGAUGUUGCAGCGGUCUCGAAGAGAUCAAUGGCCAGUGCGUGUAGAAGAGGACCAGGAAGAUCCAUCCACAAGAUCUGCAAAUCCAC